GUAAGGAAUAUUGGUCAAUGGACGAAAGUCUGAACCAGCCAUGCCGCGUGGGGGAUGAAGGUCCUCUGGAUUGUAAACUUCUUUUAUAUGGGACGAAAAUGGGGCUUUCUAGCUCAACUGACGGUACCAUAUGAAUAAGCACCGGCUAACUCCGUGCCAGUAGCCGCGGUAAUACGGAGGGUGCAAGCGUUAUCCGGAUUCACUGGGUUUAAAGGGUGCGUAGGUGGAUUGGUAAGUCAGAGGUGAAAUCUCCGGGCUCAACUCGGAAACUGCCUUUGAUACUAUCAAUCUUGAAUAUUGUGGAGGUUAGCGGAAUAUGUCAUGUAGCGGUGAAAUGCUUAGAUAUGACAUAGAACACCAAUUGCGAAGGCAGCUGGCUACACAUAUAUUGACACUGAGGCACGAAAGCGUGGGGAUCAAACAGGAUUAGAAACCCCGGUAGUCC
rnacentral:rRNA from 1 species